UCAUAUGCUUGUCUCAAAGCUUAAGCCAUGCAAGUGUAAGUUCAUGCCGUAAACGAAUGGUGAAACCGCGAAUGGCUCAGGAACCGGACCUAAUCCUCGGGACCGUAUUCCUCACCGCGAGGAGAGUGGAUAACUGUGGCAAUUCUAGAGCUAAUACAUGCAACUGAGGCCGCGAUCGCAGGUCGCACCCGGGAGUCGGAAAGAAAACAGCGUUGGUGUUUGUCGUCGUGGCGGCGGCGGCGUCUUCGUUGUCGCGCGCGCGUCGCACCACUUACGUUGCCGUCACCCGCUCGGUCGGACYGAUCGUCUAGGCGGUCGCCGGCUGCGAUGAUACGGUCGUCCUUCGCAUUGGUCGCGGCGCAAAUAUUAGACUGAGACCGACGCGUUCAAGCCGUCGCAGCAGCCGCCGCACUCCGCUACUUCGCCGCGUUYGCGCGCGCGCAAGCUAUCGGUUUGUGCGGGUCAAGGCGUGCGGCGUCACGCCCUUCGAUUUUGGUGACUCUGGAUAACUGGCAGUACGAUCGCACGGGCUAGAAUCAACUAGCCUUCGCGCGACGGGUCCCCCGCGAGUCCGCCCUAUCAACUGUCGACGGCCCGGUAAGUGCCGACCGUGGUGGCAACGGGUAACGGGGAAUCAGGGUUCGAUUCCGGAGAGGGAGCAUGCGAAACGGCUACCACAUCCAAGGAAGGCAGCAGGCGCGCAAAUUACCCACUCCCGGCACGGGGAGGUAGUGACGAAAAAUAACGACGCGGGACUCUGUCGAGGCCCCGCGAUCGGAAUGAGUACACUUCAAAUCCGUUAACGAGGAUCGACCGGAGGGCAAGUCUGGUGCCAGCAGCCGCGGUAAUUCCAGCUCCGGUAGCGUAUAUUAAAAUUGUUGCGUUUGAAAAGCUCGUAGUCGGAAUUCGGGUCUCGAAAACGUGCCCCAGCACGUUCGGGGCGACGGCGCCGUUGUAGGCUGGCGCCUCGCGCGCACGUCAACUUCGGUCGUCCGUUCGCACUCCCGGCCCUAUUCGCCGGUGCGUGCGCGGUCGGGCCGCCGAGCUCUGCGCGCAUAGCCGCUUUGUUCGCUUCGUUCGCGUGUCGGUCGCGCGUGCGGCGCGUCGUCGUGGCGUCGUCGUCGUCGAGACGGUGGUGGUUUUCCUCCGCCGCUCUUUGGCGGCGCUCGCUCGCGCACGGCGUUUGCUGCGCGGCUGCGCUCCGCUCGCUUUGCUUGCCGCAUCGCGGUCGCGUGUCCACCUCGCGGUAUUCAUCCGAUCCGCACGGUUCCUCCGAGGGUGCUCUUUACCGAGUGUCCGAGGCGGCCGGUACGUUCACUGUGAAAAAAUUAGAGUGCUCAGAGCGAGCCCCGCCGGCUUGCAUACGAAAAGCAUGGAAUGAUGGAAAAUGGCCUCGUCCGCGCGUCAUCCGUCGGUCUCCGUUCACGACGAGGCAAUGAUCGAAGGGAGCGAUCGGGGCCACUCGUAUUGCGACGUUAGAGGUGAAAUUCUUGGAUCGUCGCAAGACGCACUGCAGCGACGGCGUGUGGCAAGCACGUUUUCCUCGAUCAAGAGCGAAAGUCGGAGGUUCGAAGACGAUCAGAUACCGUCGUAGUUCCGACCGUAAACGAUGCCGACUGGCGCUCCGCCGGCGUUCGCUUCGAUGACCCGGCGGGGAGCCUGCGCGGGAAACCAUAGUCGGUUCCGGGGGGAGUAUGGUUGCAAAACAGAAACUUAAAGGAAUUGACGGAAGGGCACCACCAGGAGUGGAGCCUGCGGCUUAAUUUGACUCAACACGGGAAAACUCACCCGGUCCGGACACCGGUAGGAUUGACAGAUCGAUAGCUCUUUCUCGAUUCGGUGGGUGGUGGUGCAUGGCCGUUCUUAGUUGGUGGAGCGAUCCGUCUGGUUGAUUCCGAUAACGAACGAGACUCCGGCCUGCUAACUAGCGCGUCGAUUAGUGCUUUUCCGGUAGCGUGGCGGCGCCGAAAGCCGUCGUCGGUAGCUCUGCGCGCGGUGCGAGCUUGCCGUUGCUGCUGCUGUUUCUGCUGCUGCGGCGUCUGCCGCCGCGUCUUCUUCUGUCGUCUCCGUCGCGGUUUCGUGCCGUGGUGAGGACGGUUGUUGUAGUCGUGGUUGUUGUUGUUGUGGUGGUGGGGCGGCGGUGACUCGUUAGCUCGGCUCGCGCGAGCCCGGCGUCGGCACGCCGUUGCGUCCGGGCCAGUCGGUUGGCGAACGCAGCGCUUCUUAGAGGGACGGGCGGCAGAAAGCCGCACGAGGCGGAGCGAUAACAGGUCUGUGAUGCCCUUAGAUGUCCGGGGCCGCACGCGCGCUACACUGGAGGUAUCAGCGGGCGCGUCUCCCCCGGCCCGAGAGGGUCGGGAAACCUCUGAACCACCUCCCGUGAUAGGGAUCGGGGCCUGGAACCAACCCCGUGAACGAGGAAUUCCCGGUAGGCGCGGGUCAUCAGCCCGCGUCGAUCACGUCCCUGCCCUUUGUACACACCGCCCGUCGCUACUACCGAUCGAACGGUCCGGUGAGGUCCUCGGAUCUGGCCGACGAGUUCGCAGGCCGCGCGGCGGCGUUUCGUAUCUGCCGCUACUCGCUAUCGGCCGGUGCGUUGCCGUCGUUCGGUGCGCUCUCUGNAGGCCCGGAGAAGACGACCGAACCCGAUCGCUUAGAGGAAGUAAAAGUCGUAACAAGGUUUCC
rnacentral:rRNA from 1 species